UUUUAAAGGGGAUUUUGGUGAGGCAAUCGAAAAAUUUCAGAGAAUCCAAGAUUUAAAGAACUCUUCUUUGGGUGUUAAAGAUUUGUUAAAGGAUGCAAACCCAAGCACCAUAGUGGAUUUAAUAUAUUGAUGAAGCUUACCUUCUUGAGUUGGAGUAGUUCCAUGAGGUUAUUGUUGCAUCGGCCAUAUUUGGGAUCCUCAUGCAAUGGCGACGAAGAGAGAGAAGA